CACACUGUGCAGGCAAUGCUUCUACAGAGUGUUUGAGUUGGAGGUGCAUAAGACAAUCACAGAUGCGAAGCUCUUCAGGCGCGGCGAGUCGGUGGCGGUGGCGGCCUCCGGUGGCAAAGAUUCGACGGUGCUCGCGCACGUCAUGAAGCUGCUGAACGAGCGACACGACUACGGACUCACUCUCACGCUGCUCUCCGUCGACGAGGGAAUCACGGGAUACCGGGACGACUCCCUGGAGACUGUGAAGAGGAACCAGCAGCAGUACGACCUUCCGCUGAAGGUCGUCUCCUACGCCGACCUCUACAAUGGAUGGACGAUGGAUGAAAUCGUCAAACAGAUCGGCCGCAAGAACAACUGUG